rnacentral:rRNA from 1 species
GACGAACGCUGGCGGCGUGCCUAAUACAUGCAAGUCGAACGCUUUUUCUUUCACCGGAGCAUGCUCCACCGAAAGAAAAAGAGUGGCGAACGGGUGAGUAACACGUGGGUAACCUGCCCAUCAGAAGGGGAUAACACUUGGAAACAGGUGCUAAUACCGUAUAACACUAUUUUCCGCAUGGAAGAAAGUUGAAAGGCGCUUUUGCGUCACUGAUGGAUGGACCCGCGGUGCAUUAGCUAGUUGGUGAGGUAACGGCUCACCAAGGCAACGAUGCAUAGCCGACCUGGGAGGGUGAUCGGCCACACUGGGACGGAGACACGGCCCAGACUCCUACGGGAGGCAGCAGUAGGGAAUCUUCGGCAAUGGACGAAAGUCUGACCGAGCAACGCCGCGUGAGUGAAGAAGGUUUUCGGAUCGUAAAACUCUGUUGUUAGAGAAGAACAAGGAUGAGAGUAAAAUGUUCAUCCCUUGACGGUAUCUAACCAGAAAGCCACGGCUAACUACGUGCCAGCAGCCGCCGUAA